rnacentral:rRNA from 1 species
AGAGUUUGAUCCUGGCUCAGGAUGAACGCUAGCGGCAGGCCUAAUACAUGCAAGUCGAGGGGUAACAGAAGAAGCUUGCUUCUUGCUGACGACCGGCGAACGGGUGCGUAACGCGUAUGCAACCUACCCUUAACAGGAGGAUAGCCCGGAGAAAUCCGGAUUAAUACUCCAUAACAUCACGAAUUGGCAUCUUUUUGUGAUUAAAGCUCAGGCGGUUAAGGAUGGGCAUGCGUCCCAUUAGUUUGUUGGUGAGGUAACGGCUCACCAAGGCUACGAUGGGUAGGGGUUCUGAGAGGAUUAUCCCCCACACUGGUACUGAGACACGGACCAGACUCCUACGGGAGGCAGCAGUAAGGAAUAUUGGUCAAUGGACGAAAGUCUGAACCAGCCAUGCCGCGUGCAGGAUUGAAGCGCUACGCGUCGUAAACUGCUUUUAUUUGGGAAGAAACCCUCGGACGUGUCCGAGGCUGACGGUACCAAACGAAUAAGGACCGGCUAACUCCGUGCCAGCAGCCGCGGUAAUACGGAGGGUCCAAGCGUUAUCCGGAAUUAUUGGGUUUAAAGGGUCCGUAGGCGGGAAAUUAAGUCAGUGGUGAAAGCCCACAGCUCAACUGUGGAACUGCCAUUGAUACUGAUUUUCUUGAAUCUGGCUGAAGUGGGCGGAAUAUGUCAUGUAGCGGUGAAAUGCAUAGAUAUGACAUAGAACACCAAUUGCGAAGGCAGCUCACUAAACCAAUAUUGACGCUAAGGAACGAAAGCGUGGGGAGCGAACAGGAUUAGAUACCCUGGUAGUCCACGCUGUAAACGAUGAUCACUCGACAUUGGCGAUACACGGUCAGUGUCUAAGCGAAAGUGUUAAGUGAUCCACCUGGGGAGUACGAUCGCAAGGUUGAAACUCAAAGGAAUUGACGGGGGCCCGCACAAGCGGUGGAGCAUGUGGUUUAAUUCGAUGAUACGCGAGGAACCUUACCAGGGCUUAAAUGUAGAGUGACCGUCUCAGAAACGAGACUUUCUUCGGACAAUUUGCAAGGUGCUGCAUGGCCGUCGUCAGCUCGUGCCGUGAGGUGUCGGGUUAAGUCCCAUAACGAGCGCAACCCCUAUCCUUAGUUGCUAGCAGGUAAUGCUGAGGACUCUAAGGAAACUGCCCGCGUAAGCGGAGAGGAAGGUGGGGAUGACGUCAGGUCAGCACGGCCCUUACGUCCAGGGCUACACACGUGCUACAAUGGUGCAUACAAAGGGCAGCUACCUGGUGACAGGAUGCUAAUCUCUAAAGUGCAUCUCAGUUCGGAUCGAAGUCUGCAACUCGACUUCGUGAAGCUGGAAUCGCUAGUAAUCGUGAAUCAGCCAUGUCACGGUGAAUACGUUCCCGGGCCUUGUACACACCGCCCGUCAAACAAUGGAAGCUGGGGGCGCCUGAAGUCGGUAACCGCAAGGAGCUGCCUAGGGUAAAACUGGUAACUGGGGCUAAGUCGUAACAAGGUAACC